AUUUAAAUCAUACUCUCCCUACCUUUGGUUUCCACCUACACCAUCAGGAGUCCCAAAACAGCACCCUGAAGUUCUCUGGGGCUCCACCUCCUCACAUCCAGCCAUGCCCUAGAUGUCAUCACUGAACAUCCUCGAAGCACCUCCUUGACAGUGAACCAACCCCUGAAACAUCUUCCCCAGGUCUGGUCUUCUUUUACCAAAAGGCACCGUUUAGCAAUUGCCCAGGUCAAAAACAAGGACUUCUCUCCCUGCCUUGCCAAGGCCAAUCCACCCAUCCAACCACGGAAGCCCUCUUCUCUGCCAUUGUGCCUCUUCUCCCCUCAACUACUACAACAGGCUGCCCACCGGCCCAGGAGCCCUGUGCCUCUGUCUCCCUCAUUCCAAUGCGGCUUCCACACCAGCUACCAGAAAAACAAAUCUGUGGGCUGGGAAGUCAUCUCUAGGCAUAGCAGGAAACCCCAAAACCAAAAAGGAAAAGACUAAGGGAUAUGACCAAAGAAAACCCCAAAUUUUCUGCCCUCUAAAAAAUAAAACACGACUGAGAUUGAAGGCAAACCCGAAGGGGCAUGUGCACCCGAAUGUUUAUAGCAGCGAUGUCCACAGUAUCCAAACUAUGGAAAGAGCCUAGACAUCCAUCAACAGAUAAAUGGAAUAUAAUGGAAUAUGAUGCAGCCAUCAAAGACCCCAAAAUCUUGCCAUUUACAACAAUGUGGAUGGAACUAGAGGGUAUUAUAGUAAGCGAAAUAAGUCAAUCAGAGAAAGACAAUUAUCGUAUGAUCUCACUGAUAAGAGGAAUUUGAGAAAGAAGACAGAGGAUCAUAGGGAAAGGGAGGGAAAAAUGAAACACGAUGAAACCAGAGAGGGAGACAAACCAUAAGAGACUCUUAAUCUCAGGAAACAAACUGAGGGUUGCUGGAGGGUGAGGCAGGGGCAGGGAUAGGGUGGCUGGUUAUGGACAUUGGGGAGGGCAUGUGCUAUGGUGAGUGCUGUGAAAGUGUAAGACUGAUGAUUCACAGACCUGUACCCCCGAAGUAAAUAAUACAUUACAUGUUAAGAAAAAAAGAAAAAUACAGGAUUAAUAUUCCUGCCAUACCACGUACUCUCUCAAAUUAGGAAAAAAGAUACAAAUGCUGUGAUAGAAAACUUUCAAACACAUCAGAGUAUAAAAGGCCAGUAAACGAGACGCCAAUCUCAGUAAUAACCAGAGAGGGACAUUAAAUCAACCACAAACCAUCACAUGGUGCCUAUCAGAUGGGAAAGGUGAAAGAACCUCCAUGUUGACAAGCGAAUGGAGAAAUAUGUUCUCUGCGUGCGCAAGCACAAGUUGAUUCAGUCUAUUUAAAGAGCAACUUGGCAAUGUGGGCACCAAAUAUGGACAUUUGUGUGCAGCAAAAUUUAAAAAACCUUAUACCUUUGGACCCAGCAAUCCCUCUUUUCAGUGGUCAAGAAAUACUGCCACACGAGAGCUGUUUUCAGGAGAGAUGCAGCUGGGGAGAGAUGGAUGUUUACUACAGCCUACUAUGUGCUUGGACUUGGACUUCGUGUUUUCUUAUGUAACCCACAGGCAGCCCUGUGAAGAAGGGACUGUUGUCACUUCACAGGAGAGGACAAAAGGAGGCUCACAGUCAGACUGCUGAACAGAAAUCAAGGCUCGGAGAUGUAAGUGACUUGCCCAAGAACACAGCCUGAGCCGCUCGGGAUUUGCACUCCUGCUUCUGCAGCAUUAAAUCACUGCUUUGUUCCAGAAAUUCUCGGCAGGCGAGGAAAGGCACACCAGUGAAGAUGUUCUCCAUCGCACUUCCCGUCGCAGGGAGAGCACAGAAGGCACCCGCCCGCUCGUCCGUCGGCACACGGAUGCACGAGCCAGCACGCAAUCAGUCCCAGCUCAGCCAACCACCCAUGCACCUGCAUGGGUGCCACGGAGCCACCGGACAGAAGGAAGAAGUUCUGUAUGUGCAGCCACCAAACAACAUUUGUGACUCUUUGCAUGGAACAAAAUAUAAGCCAUUCUGAAGUACAGUGAUGAAGCAUGGGCUCCUACACGGUCCCCUACCUGGGCUUCCCUCCUCCAGUCUGACCUCCUCAAAGUGACCAGACCUGGGCUGUGAGCAACCCCAGAGCAGAAAGUGUGCUGGUCUCGUCCACUCCCUAACAAGAGUGCUCACCCAUCAUUCGGCGGCGGGCUCCGAGAACACCCCAUCUCGCUGCGGGCUGGCACAUGCUGUCCUCCGACUCCGAGUGUGAGCCCCUCACUCACCCUGCUGUUCUGGGGGUUUUGGGGCCUCAGCACAAAUACUUCUUUUUGAAAGUCCUUUUAGGCCCGUUUGUUCUCUACUCAGAAACAACUUACCUUUUCUUUA